CUUUAAUCAGAUUUAAUAUAUAUAUAUAUAUAGAGAGAGAGAGAGAGAGAGAGAGAGAGAGAGAGUUUUGCUAGAAUACUAUCGCGCGGUAGUAAACGGCUCGGUUUACUAUCGAUUUAUUUUCGAUGAUAGAGCUUCUAAAUUGAUGAUCGGCACCGUUAAACAUGAUCUAAACUAUUUAAACUAUCUGGAAAUCAAAUUUCACACAUUUUCGAUAUUGUUCUCUUGUUCAUCAAGUGAAUAGAAAAAUGGAUGGCUGAAAAUGAAUAUUCUUGAAAAAGUGAUGAUACAAUUUUUAUAUUUGAGAUCUAGAGUCUAGAUCUUAUUUUAAAUAGUUUAAAGAAUUUUUUAAUAAAAAUUUAGUUAAUUUGAACUCUUCUAUACCGUUAAACGAGCAAACGCACCACAUCGGCCAUUAAAAUUAUAGAUUUUGUAACCCUUUUAUCGUUCAGUUAGUGAUACCAAAAAAAUCAUGAAAUUUGAUUUUUAGAUAAUUUAAAUGGUCUAAAUCAUGUUCAAUGAUGCUAAAAAAUCAUGAAAUAU
rnacentral:lncRNA from 1 species